GGGCCGCUGGUCUAGUGGUAUGAUUGAAGCUUAGGGUUCACUCCUCUCAUGUGUCAGGCCCCGGGUCCGAUCCCCGGGUGGCCCC